rnacentral:rRNA from 1 species
AUGGCCGGCAAGGCCGACCUGGUGAUUGGGCGUGACGAUGAGAUUGAUCGCGUCAUCCGCAUCCUCUGUCGCCGGACCAAGAACUGCGCCGCGCUUGUGGGCGCCGCCGGGGUCGGCAAGACGGCCAUCGCCGAGGGCCUCGCCCAACGCAUCGUCGCCGGGAAGGUCCCGUCCAAGCUCGCCGGAGCGCGCGUCAUUGUGCUCAACCUCACGGCGAUGGUGUCUGGUACGACGUACGUUGGCAUGUUCGAGGAGCGCAUGACGGACUUUCUCAAGAAGGUGGCGGCUGCACGCGGCAAGGUGACCCUGUUCGUCGACGAGAUGCACAUGCUUCUUGGCGCCGGAGCGGCCACGGGCACCCACAUGGACGCGGCCAACAUGCUGAAGCCAGCAUUGGCCCGUGGCCAUAUCCGAUGCCUGGGCGCCACUACUGACGAUGAGUGUUCCAAGUAUAUCGAGAAGGAUCCUGCACUCGAGCGGCGGUUCCAAAUAGUGCACGUUGAGGAGCCGAGCACGCAUUCCACCAUUUCUAUCCUCCACGGGCUUAAACCCCGGUACCAAACACUACCAGAACAGGGGCUGGUGCCGACGGCCACCGUUGGCCUACUCCUUGAUAUGCCUACAGCCGGAUCUAGGCCGUCGGCGUACCGAGGCCGUCGGGCUAUCCCGAGGUAUGCCGACGGCCACCGUCGGCUUAGACCCAUCCUACACCUACAGCCGCCGUCGGCAUAUAUUAGCCGUCGGCAUAGUUGCGGGCCCGGCGGCCGCCCGUGA